rnacentral:rRNA from 1 species
AUUGAACGCUGGCGGCAGGCCUAAUACAUGCAAGUCGAGCGGACGAAGGGAGCUCGCUCCUGGAUUCAGCGGCGGACGGGUGAGUAAUGCCUAGGAAUCUGCCUGGUAGUGGGGGAUAACGUCCGGAAACGGGCGCUAAUACCGCAUAAGAUCUGAGGGAGAAAGUGGGGGAUCUUCGGACCUCACGCUAUCAGAUGAGCCUAGGUCGGAUUAGCUAGUUGGUGGGGUAAAGGCCUACCAAGGCGACGAUCCGUAACUGGUCUGAGAGGGUGAUCAGUCACACUGGAACUGAGACACGGUCCAGACUCCUACGGGAGGCAGCAGUGGGGAAUAUUGGACAAUGGGCGAAAGCCUGAUCCAGCCAUGCCGCGUGUGUGAAGAAGGUCUUCGGAUUGUAAAGCGCUUUAAGUUGGGAGGAAGGGCAGUAAGUUAAUACCUGGCUGUUUUGACGUUACCAACAGAAUAAGCACCGGCUAACUUCGUG